CCUACGGGUGGCAGCAGUGGGGAAUAUUGGGCAAUGGGCGCAAGCCUGACCCAGCAACGCCGCGUGAAGGAAGAAGGCUUUCGGGUUGUAAACUUUUUUUUUCAGGGACGAAGUAAGUGACGGUACUUGAGGAAUAAGUCACGGUUAACUACGUGCCAGCAGCCGCGGUAAUACGUAGGUGGCAAGCGUUAUCCGGAUUUACUGGGUGUAAAGGGGGUGUUGGCGGGCCUGCAAGUCAGAUGUGAAAACCACGGGCUCAACCUGUGGCCUGCAUUUGACACUGUAGUUCUUGAGUACUGGAGAGGCAGACGGAAUUCCUAGUGUAGCGGUGAAAUGCGUAGAUAUUAGGAGGAACACCAGUGGCGAAGGCGAUCUGCUGGACAGCAACUGACGCUGAGGCGCGAAAGCGUGGGGAGCGAACGGGAUUAGAUACCCCUGUAGUC
rnacentral:rRNA from 1 species